GGUGCUCUCUCCGCGGUGGGCGAGCGUCUCUAUGGUUGGAUCCUAAGACCCGGCCGCCAUUUUGUACGGGGGCCUUGAGCAAUGAGAGGCUUGGGGACGGUUUCGAGGCGGAGUUCCGAGGAGCUGGGGGUGGGGACGGUUUGGAGCCACUACUGCCAGAGGCGCGACUCUCGCACUGCCGUGUUUCAAAGUGACAACUUGCCAGUUUCACAAUGCAUCUCUUCCUAAAAACUGACCACCAUCUCUGGGUUAGUUUUGGCUGACUCAUGGAGGAUAUGCAGUGAGGAUUUUUGUGUCUUCUGCUUCACCUUUUCAUGUCAGAGUAAAACUGCCUUUGCAAAGAUUAUGAUGACUUUUGCAUUCUGGCAACUGACUGACUUCACCCGGAUGAUCUGAGACUCAGGAAUCAACCGGUCCUGUGGGCCCCCCACCUAGAGGCUGACUCAGCACAUGAGGACUGUUUUCCACACCCCCAUGAUUUCUUCCUCAACCAGUCAGCAGCACCCAUUCCCUAGCCCUCUCCCACCAAAUUAUCCAUAGUACUCUAGCCUCUCAGUUCUCAGGAAGAAUGAUUUGAGUAAUAAACUCCCACCUUCUGGUUACCUAACCCUGCAAUAAUUAAACUCUUUCUCUACUGCAAUACUGCUGUCUCAGUGAAUUGGUUUUAUGUGUACAGUGGUAAGAAGAACCUGCUGGGCAAUUACAAGAGGGCCAAAAACUCCACCCUUGAACCAUGCUAACACCACCACUUUUUGAGACGAGUCAUUCUGUUGCCAGGCUGGAGCACAGUGGUGUGAU